CCCCCCGCUGUCUUUCUUUUCACAGGUGAAUUACGGAGGAGGAAUUUGCUGCUGGCACUUUGGUCUUCUUCUUCUAUGAUUCUGAGGCAGCUGCGGAGCAAAUGGAUGGGUGGUGGCCCGCGCUGUCACUCAAACGAGACCGACCGCUUUCACCGGGGCUCGAAACCUGCAACAGAACCCCCUGAUUGGAGCACCAGCUUUUAAAAACAAAAAUGACAAUGUGCACUAAUCAUUUUCACCAGCUCAGGUCGGUGGAGCGUUGCACGGCUGACAUGUUUGUUAAUGUGGGUUCCCUGAAGGAAACAAGGUAGCCAUCAAGGCAACUAAAUGAGCCAGAAACAGAGGAGUUUAAUGUGCGCCGUAAUGAGCGCCUAAGUUUGAUGUGAAAACAAAGCCAUGAUUAAAGUGAAGCCCCGGCCAACAGCUGGCCGUCGUAUGGGGACUGAACCCCGGUCAGGGAGUUGGGAUUGGCUUUGUGUAAAUCCUUGAUUAUUUAAAUACAGUGUGCAGAAAACCAUCCCACCUCCGUGGACAGGGCGGCGCGUGGCUCCUUCGUCCCUCUUUAUCUUUCGAUUUCUUUAAUUACAGACUUUUACCGUCAGCUUCCCAGAAAAAACAAACUCCUACGGCACAUGAAAAGAAGUCACACACACACCACGCACACCACGCACACCACGCACACCUACCCCAGCUCCACUCAGUCAGUAUGGCGCUUUGAUUCUGUGCCUGCCGGUGAUCUGUCUCUUAUCGCCCCCCCCCUCCUCCCUCCCUCUGAUCCCUUGUUCCCCUCUUCAGCUGCGCCGGGGCAGAACAUCUCCCUGUCUCUGUUUAUUCUGCAGUGGUUGUAGGUGGGAAGCCUGAUCUGCAACCAUGAAUCCGUCUGUAUGUCUUACUGCUGCUGUCAGAACAAGUGAAAUCAUAAGAUCAAUCGGAUCGUUCGCUUAGUCCGAGCAGCUCGUCAUGACGAAUGAAGGGAUCUUCGAGGCACAAAGCCUCAUCAGCCCAUUGAAAAACAACAGGGCGGAUCCCACACCAGGUCCUGCAACCAAUCCGCACAGGUGCCUCCGCCGACAACACAACGCCCCACCAGCCAUUACUCCACCAGAAGACACCACAAUUUGGUUUUCAGCACACAACAAUUUACAUUGCUUUCGUCUUGCAGAAACUCUUAUAUAUGAAUCAUGAAUUCCAAUUUUUCAGGAUCUCCCCGACUACUUCUGCUUUUGCACAAUGUAAGGCACGGAGUGCCGGAUCUUCCACCGCAGUCUCUGCAGAGAAUAAAAAGACGAGUAACUGAAGGAGGGUGCAGAGGAUUCUUUAGCAAGUGAGGCGACAAUUUGAUUGAACUGGUUCCCUGAGGCCUGCAUGCAUUUCUACAGUGGAUUUAGUGGUGGUUUGCCUGCCUGCAUGGGUAUAUGACAAUGGUGAGAGUGAAAGCCAUGAUUAGAAACGGCUUACUCUUCUGGCACUAUAUGAACACUUGAACGUAAUGAGAUGCAGCUAUCUCCUCCUUUUUAUGGGGACGUUCUGUGAGUCCUGGUGCUUGUGUUAUGUAGCAGUAUUUGUGUUG
ensembl:lncRNA